rnacentral:rRNA from 1 species
UGGGGAAUCUUGGACCAUGGGCGCAAGCCUGAUCCAGCCAUACCGCGUGGGUGACGAAGGCCAUCGGGUUGUAAAGCCCUUUUGUUGGGAAAGAAAUCCUAUCGAUUAAUACUCGGUGGGGAUGACGGUACCCAAAGAAUAAGCACCGGCUAACUUCGUGCCAGCAGCCGCGGUAAUACGAAGGGUGCAAGCGUUACUCGGAAUUACUGGGCGUAAAGCGUGCGUAGGUGGUGGUUUAAGUCUGUCGUGAAAGCCCUGGGCUCAACCUGGGAAUUGCGAUGGAUACUGGAUCACUAGAGUGUGGUAGAGGGAUGCGGAAUGUCCGGUGUAGCAGUGAAAGGCGUAGAGAUCGGAAGGAACAUCUGUGGCGAAGGCGGCAUCCUGGGCCAACACUGACACUGAGGCACGAAAGCGUGGGGAGCAAACA